UACGUAGGGUGCGAGCGUUAAUCGGAAUUACUGGGCGUAAAGCGUGCGCAGGCGGUUUUGCAAGCCGGAUGUGAAAUCCCCGGGCUCAACCUGGGAACUGCAUUGGUGACUGGCAGGCUUUGAGUGUGGCAGAGGGAGGUAGAAUUCCACGUGUAGCAGUGAAAUGCGUAGAGAUGUGGAGGAAUACCGAUGGCGAAGGCAGCCUCCUGGGCCAACACUGACGCUCAUGCACGAAAGCGUGGGGAGCAAACGGG
rnacentral:rRNA from 1 species